rnacentral:rRNA from 1 species
UACAGAGGGUGCGAACGUUGCUCGGAUUUACUGGGCGUAAAGCGCUUGUAGGCGGGCUGAUGUGUCGGGUGUGAAAUCCCUGAGCUUAACUCAGGAACUGCAUUCGGAAACUAUCAGUCUUGAGGAAUUGAGAGGAGAACGGAAUUCCCGGUGUAGAGGUGAAAUUCGUAGAUAUCGGGAGGAACACCAGAUGCGAAGGCGGUUCUCUGGAAAUUAUCUGACGCUGAGAAGCGAAAGCGUGGGGAGCGAUCCGG